GACGAACGCUGGCGGCGUGCUUAACACAUGCCAGUCGAACGGAAAGGCCCUGCUUUUGUGGGGUGCUCGAGUGGCGAACGGGUGAGUAACACGUGAGUAACCUGCCCUUGACUUUGGGAUAACUUCAGGAAACUGGGGCUAAUAUCGGAUAGGAGCUCCUGCUGCAUUGUGGGGGGUGGAAAGUUUCGGCGGUUGGGGAUGGACUCGCGGCUUAUCAGCUUGUUGGUGGGGUAGUGGCUGACCAAGGCUUUGACGGGUAGCUGGCCUGAGAGGGUGACCGGCGACAUUGGGACUGAGAUACGGCCCAGACUCCUACGGGAGGCAGCAGUGGGGAAUAUUGCACAAUGGGCGGAAGCCUGAUGCAGCAGCGCCGCGUGCGGGAUGACGGCCUUCGGGUUGUAAACCGCUUUCGCCUGUGACGAAGCGUGAGUGACGGUAAUGGGUAAAGAAGCACCGGCUAACUACGUG
rnacentral:rRNA from 1 species